GGGAUUGUAGCUCAAUUGGUUAGAGCGCUGGCCUGUCACGCCAGAGGUUGUGGGUUCAAGUCCCAUCAGUCUCGCCA
rnacentral:tRNA from 1 species